GACGUAGGGCGCGAGCGUUGUCCGGAUUUAUUGGGCGUAAAGAGCGCGCAGGCGGUCGUUCAAGUCGAGUGUGAAAGCCCCCGGCUCAACUGGGGAGGGUCAUUCGAUACUGAUCGACUCGAAGGCAGGAGAAGGGAUGCGGAAUUCCAGGUGUAGCGGUGAAAUGCGCAGAUAUCGGGAGGAACACCGGUGGCGAAGGCGGGUUCUCUGGGCCUGUACUGACGCUGAGGAGCGAAAGCGUGGGGAGCGAACAGG
rnacentral:rRNA from 1 species